rnacentral:rRNA from 1 species
UUGGAAUUGCUAGUAAUCGCAGAUCAGAAUGCUGCGGUGAAUACGUUCCCGGGUCUUGUACACACCGCCCGUCACACCAUGGGAGUUGGAAAUGCCCGAAGUCAGUGACCAAACCGAAAGGAAGGAGCUGCCGAAGGUGGAGCCGAUGACUGGGGUGAAGUCGUAACAAGGUAAC